rnacentral:lncRNA from 1 species
UAGUAGCAGGCCUUCGAAACACUUGAAAGAUCCAAGCUAUCAUAGGAUUAAUCUUUCAUAGUCUCCAGGCUUCAUGAGUGAUAAAAUCAAUUACAACAUCAUAUAUAAAAUUACCAGAGAGCAUUAUUAGACCACACAUCUACAAAGCAGGAGUCAUAUGACUUCACUAAUCAGAACAAACUAUCACCACCUCUACUCAAAAAAGUACACAUGUUGUGCUCAUUGAAUGCAUAAGGAAUUAAAAAACUUAGUAUUCGAACUACAACUAAGGAUUACAUGAGGAAAUAACUCAAACAAAUAGCUCAAAACAUGGCAGUAUACAAGACUAAACAUCAGAAACUCCAAAACUUCCAUUCAUUCAUUUCAUUUUCCAUUCGCGCAUCAGAUUACAUAGUUCUGGGAGACGAGUACCUAGAUGUAGAAGAAACAAAGAAAAAUGAUAAAGGAUCAACGACUACUGAGCAACAAUUAGCAGUUUUCAACCAGUUUUGAACCCAGAAAGUUAAGUAAAUAGCCUAAAAACAGUUUCAAUCCAGGCAAAUGAACCAGAGAACAUUGACCUGACUUGAGUUUAACUCAUUUCCACUAUUACCUACCCAGAAAUUGUUUCAGAUUAAGAGACAACUCAUAAAUCACCUCCAGAACUCCAUGAAACAGUACCCCUUUUUAGUUUUAUCGUUUUUAUUUUCAGGAUAUUUAGCUCUUCCUCCUUUAAGCUUAAGUUUUUUUAUGCCUUUUAUAAGCUAAACAUCAGGGCAAUCUUCAGAUUUUAAUUUUUAUCUAUUAGUCCUUUUUAAAUUACCCUUUUGCUACUUAGUCCCUGCUUUUUGUGACUGGUUAACCAAGUUAUAGAAUGAGAAUUGAGAACCAAUACCUGCUAGAAACUUCUAGGAGUUUAUUAAGUAUUUCGAUAAAGAUUCCUCAACCUAAAAUUUCCAAACUACCCCCUCAAAUGAACCUGAAUUACUAGAUAUACCAAAUGGGUACGGUCAAGUUGACCCAAGGUCCAAAUUCUAGAGUUGGGCUUGCCAAACCUAUUGAAUCCCCUCCUCUGGUCUCUGCUUAAUUGAGUUCAAAUUCAAAUCAUGCAACCUAAAUUUAAUGGGUCCAGCAGGAUUUCCAAAGGACACUCAGAACCCAUUUUUUUAAUUGAAACCCCGGGAAACAAAAUAACAACAAAGAAACAAAGAAAUUAAAACAUGCACUAUUAACUUUAAUUGCAAGUACGCAAACAGAAACGAUUAUAAGAACAAAAAAACGGAUAAUACAAAAGAUAUGAAGCGAGAGGACGAAGGCAGGUGCCUUGAAUGAAACAAAAGGAAGAAAGAAAUGAUGGAAAAAGAUGGAAAGAUGAGCAUACAUAAGCAACAGUUUGAAUAAAUCUCGAAAAUGAACCUCGAGCCUCUGAAUUUAAUCCUGUGUUCUUAAAUGAAAACACAAGAAUAAAGCCCGUUUGCAACCUCAGAUCUUCAAUAUGAAAUGAUUGGAUUUUUUGGGAUUUUAGGGUUCGUCCCUUUGAAUCAAGAUUCGAUGGAAUCUAGGGUGAUUCGAAGGAAACAAAGUAGGGAUUCGGAAUGGGGAGAUGAAGGGGGGUCUGUGGUGUUGAGCUGAGAUCGAUUGGAGGCAGCGCUACUAGCAAUCAACGGUUGAGGACUAAGGUGGCGUCUCUAGGGUUCCAAGGAGACGCAGGGUUUGGCAGAUGAGUGAAGGGGUGGGGGUGCUCGGACACAUUAGUACAAAACGUUCCACACUUCUCC